rnacentral:rRNA from 1 species
UACAGAGGGUGCGAGCGUUAAUCGGAAUUACUGGGCGUAAAGCGUGCGUAGACGGUCAUGUAAGUCGGAUGUGAAAGCCCCGGGCUCAACCUGGGAAUUGCAUUCGAGACUGCAUGGCUUGGGUGCGGAAGAGGGAAGCGGAAUUUCCGGUGUAGCGGUGAAAUGCGUAGAUAUCAAGAGGAACACCUGAGGUGAAGACGGGUUGCUGGGCUGACACUGACGCUGAGGCGCGAAAGCUAGGGGAGCAAACGGG